rnacentral:rRNA from 1 species
CCCAGUUCGGACUGCAGGCUGCAACUCGCCUGCACGAAGUUGGAAUUGCUAGUAAUCGCGGAUCAGCAUGCCGCGGUGAAUACGUUCCCGGGCCUUGUACACACCGCCCGUCAAGCCAUGGGAGCCGGGGGUGCCUGAAGUUCGUGACCGCAAGGAGCGACCUAGGGCAAAACUGGUGACUGGGGCUAAGUCGUAACAAGGUAUC